GCUGGCUCGUAGGAAACGGAGGGGGGCAAUUCUGUCACGGUGGAAGGCGCUCGGAUGCUUCGUGCUGCAACCAGCUUCAAUUCUGCAGGUCGUCGGAACAAGAGCCAGCACUCUGAAUAUUCGCUGAAAAGAAUAGCGAAGCCGUCACACGUGUGAAUGAAGCCGCUAAAGCUGACAAGUAGUAGAUGGUCCAUACUGCCCGGCCGGCCGCCUGUAACAAGCCGCUCGUACGUGCUAGUAGUCGUGCCUUGUCUAACAACUCCAAGUUUACAAAUGUGUUAGUUGUUGCAGUGUCGAUUCAAAGCUCGCAAAAAAUAAAUAAAUUGCAGGGCGGUACCUGUAGGCCAUGUUGAUUCUGCACUUGGUUUCACA